AUUGAACGCUGGCGGCAUGCCUUACACAUGCAAGUCGAACGGUAACGGGCCUUCGGGUGCCGACGAGUGGCGAACGGGUGAGUAAUACAUCGGAACGUGCCCGAUCGUGGGGGAUAACGAGGCGAAAGCUUUGCUAAUACCGCAUACGAUCUACGGAUGAAAGCAGGGGACCGCAAGGCCUUGCGCGGACGGAGCGGCCGAUGGCAGAUUAGGUAGUUGGUGGGAUAAAAGCUUACCAAGCCGACGAUCUGUAGCUGGUCUGAGAGGAUGAUCAGCCACACUGGGACUGAGACACGGCCCAGACUCCUACGGGAGGCAGCAGUGGGGAAUUUUGGACAAUGGGCGCAAGCCUGAUCCAGCCAUGCCGCGUGCAGUAUGAAGGCCUUCGGGUUGUAAACUGCUUUUGUACGGAACGAAAAGCCUUCUUUUAAUACAGGAGGGUCAUGACGGUACCGUAAGAAUAAGCACCGGCUAACUACGUG
rnacentral:rRNA from 1 species